rnacentral:rRNA from 1 species
UACGAGGGGUGCAAGCGUUAUUCGGAAUUAUUGGGCGUAAAGGGUGCGUAGGUGGUAUAUUAAGUCAAUUGUUAAAUUCCCCGGCCUAACCGGGGGUAUGCGGUAGAAACUGAUAUGCUAGAGGGUGGAAGAGAGAAGUGGAAUUCUCGGUGUAGCGGUAAAAUGCGUAGAUCUCGAGAGGAACACCAAUGGCGAAGGCAGCUUCUUGGUCCACACCUGACACCUGAGGCACGAAAGCGUGGGGAGCAAACAGG